AGAGUUUGAUCCUGGCUCAGGAUGAACGCUAGCGGGAGGCCUAACACAUGCAAGUCGAACGGGAUUGGGAGCUUGCUCCCAUGAGAGUGGCGCACGGGUGAGUAACGCGUAUGCAACCUGCCUAUAACAGAGGGAUAGCCCAUAGAAAUGUGGAUUAAUACCUCAUAGUUCUUUUGGUCCGCAUGGACUGAAAGAUAAAGCUCCGGCGGUUAUAGAUGGGCAUGCGUGACAUUAGCUAGUUGGUAAGGUAACGGCUUACCAAGGCUACGAUGUCUAGGGGUUCUGAGAGGAUGAUCCCCCACACUGGUACUGAGACACGGACCAGACUCCUACGGGAGGCAGCAGUGAGGAAUAUUGGUCAAUGGGCGCAAGCCUGAUGCAGCAACGCCGCGUGAGUGAAGAAGGCCUUCGGGUCGUAAAACUCUGUCCUAAGGGAAGAAGAAGUGACGGUACCUUAGGAGGAAGCCCCGGCUAACUACGUGCCAGCAGCCGCGGUAAUACGUAGGGGGCAAGCGUUAUCCGGAAUCACUGGGCGUAAAGGGUGCGUAGGCGGCUGAUCAAGCCAGGGGUGAAAGGCUGUGGCUUAACCAUGGUAAGCCUUUGGAACUGGUCAGCUUGAGUGCAGGAGAGGAAAGCGGAAUUCCUAGUGUAGCGGUGAAAUGCGUAGAUAUUAGGAGGAACACCCGUGGCGAAGGCGGCUUUCUGGACUGUAACUGACGCUGAGGCACGAAAGCGUGGGGAGCAAACAGGAUUAGAUACCCUGGUAGUCC
rnacentral:rRNA from 1 species